UACGCAUUUAAGUUGUUGCAGUUAAAAAUCUCAUAGUUGGAUCUUGGGUCGUAAAGGUCGGUCCGCCUACUUGGUUUGCGCCUGCCCUUCCGUCCCUUUUGUCGGCGGCAUGCUCCUGGCCUUAAUUGGCUGGGUCGCGGUUCCGAUGUUGUUACUUUGAAAAAAAUAGAGUGCUCAAAGCAAGCUUAUGCUCUGAAUACAUUAGCAUGGAAUAAAGCGAUAGGAGUUUGGUCCUAUUGUGUUAUACUUCGAGACCAUAGUAAUGAUUAAUAGGGACUGUCGAGGGCACUCGUAUUUCAUUGUCAUAGGUGAAAUUCUUGGAUUUAUGAAAGACGAACCACUACGAAAUCAUUUGCCAAGGAUGUUUUCAUUAAUCAAGAAUGAAAGUUGGGGGCUCGAAGACGAUCAUAUACCAUCCUAGUCUCAACCAUAAACAAUGCCAACUAGGGAACAAUGGAUGUUGCUCUAAGGAGUCCGCCAACACCUGAUGAGAAAUCAAAGUGUUUGGGUUCUGAGGGGGGUAUGGUCGCAAGGAUGAAACUUAAAGGAAUUGACGGAAGGGCACCACUAGGAGUGGAUCCUGCAGCUUAAUUUGACUCAACAGGAGAAAACUUACCAGGUCC
rnacentral:ncRNA from 1 species